AACUGCCCCACAUCCCAUUGCAGAUUUGGUUUGGCGGAGUCCUCACGUUGCCACUGCUGGCUCAGGCAGCCUGCUUUUAUUCUCUUAUCUGGCCCCACCCACAUCCUGCUGAUUGGUCCAUUUUAAAGAGAGCUGAUUGGUUUGUUUUACAGAGAGCUGAUUGGUCCGUUUUGACAGGGUGCUGAUUGGUGCGUUUACAAUCCCUGAGCUAGACACAAAAGUUCUCCGUGUCUCCACUAGAUUAGCUAGAUACAGAGUGUCGAUUGGUGUAUUUACAAACCCUGAGCUAGACACAGAGUGCUGAUUGGUGCAUUUACAAACCAUGAGCUAGAUACAGAGUGCCG
rnacentral:lncRNA from 1 species